rnacentral:rRNA from 1 species
AACGUAGGACGCAAGCGUUAUCCGGAGUUACUGGGCGUAAAGCGCGGGCAGGCGGCCCGUUCAGUCCGAGGUGAAAGCGCCCGGCUCAACCGGGCGAGGCCCUUGGAAACUGGCGGGCUGGAGGGCAGUAGAGGCAGGCGGAAUUCCGGGUGGAGUGGUGAAAUGCGUAGAGAUCCGGAGGAACACCAGAGGCGAAGGCGGCCUGCUGGGCUGCACCUGACGCUGAGCCGCGAAAGCCAGGGGAGCGAACGGG